rnacentral:tRNA from 1 species
GCGCGGGUGGUGGAAUUGGUAGACACGCUACCUUGAGGUGGUAGUGCUCACAAGGCGUGAAAGUUCGAGUCUUUUCCCGCGCACCA